rnacentral:misc_RNA from 1 species
UUGUGGAGGAGGACGCCGAAGGUGGGGCUAAUGACUGGGGUGAAGUCGUAACAAGGUAGCCGUACCGGAAGGUGCGGCUGGAUCACCUCCUAACAGGGAGACAACAAAAUGUUAAAUAUUAAUUUUGUCACCUUAGGUCGAUUGGUAUCUCACAUUCUUAAUUUAUUAAGAAUUUUAUUUCCUAAGUUUUUUCUAGGUCACACCCAUUACUUUUUCCUGGGCCAUUAGCUCAGGUGGUUAGAGCGCACCCCUGAUAAGGGUGAGGUCCCUGGUUCAAGUCCAGGAUGGCCCAUAUCUCUAUGUUGGGGGUAUAGCUCAGUUGGUAGAGCGCCUGCUUUGCAAGCAGGAUGUCAGCGGUUCGAGUCCGCUUACCUCCACUGAUCACCACCUCUUCCAUAAUUUAUAGAAGGGAAAUGUUUUGAGUUGUGAUCAAAUUCUGAACGAAUCUAGCUUCCUAAUAAAACUUAUUAAGAUGCUGGACUCAUUGAAUUAAUUUCAUUGUUUUCAGAGAACCUUGACAACUGCAUAGAUUAUUUUUAAAGACAAUAAGCAUCUUUAAUGAUGCAGAUUUAUUAUUUGUGCGAAUGCAUUAAUAACAAUUCUAUUAAGCUGAUGCUUCAAUUUUGAAGUUAUUGGUCAAGCUACAA